AGCAGGAGAGGGUCAGAGGGAGAAAACCUCAGGCAGACUCCACACUGAGCUCCGAGCCCCAUGCAGAGCUCCAUCCCAAGAUCCUGAUGACCUGAUCCGAAAUCAAGAGUCGGACACCCAACUGACUGAGCCACCUAGGCACCCCUUUUAAAAGAUUUUAUUAUUUUUUUAAAAUUUUUAUUUAUUUAUUCAUGAGAGACACAGACAGAGAGGCAGAGACACAGGCAGAGGGAGAAGCAGGUUCCUCACAGGAUCCUGGAUCAGAGAUCACUUCUUGAGCUGAAAGUGGACACUCAACCGCUGACCCACCCAGACAUAAUGGCGUGGCCGUGGCUAUCCUGCCUCCUGCUUCUUACCCUCGUGGUAUCUGUGGAAGCCAAUGUGGCCCCGACAUUCUCUGGAAACAUGACGAGAGUGAAUUUGCCUGAGGACCUACCAGUGGGUGAGUAACCAUCCCUGUGCACAGACUGUGCCAAGCCCCUACCCAAAGAGGGCCCCAGGGACUCCC
rnacentral:lncRNA from 1 species